rnacentral:rRNA from 1 species
UACGGGGGGGGCUAGCGUUGUUCGGAAUUACUGGGCGUAAAGGGCGCGUAGGCGGCCUGCUAAGUCGGACGUGAAAUCCCUCGGCUCAACCGGGGAACUGCGUCCGAUACUGGUGGGCUCGAAUCCGGGAGAGGGAUGUGGAAUUCCAGGUGUAGCGGUGAAAUGCGUAGAUAUCUGGAGGAACACCGGUGGCGAAGGCGGCAUCCUGGACCGGUAUUGACGCUGAUGCGCGAAAGCCAGGGGAGCAAACGGG